GACAGUUUCCGUCUGUGUCUGAAUCCCAGAGUGAGGAAUGGGACGGAACAGAGGAAGAGAGGAAGCGUCACUCUGUGUUUGACCCGAGCAAGAGUGUCCCCAGUACUGGAUCAGAAAUGAAGGCGGCUGUUAUUUAAUAACCACGUUGCAAUUCUCCUACGAUAAAGCGAGGCAGAAUUGCUGGGACCUUGAUUCUAAACUUCUUGAAAUAAAUUCAGCAGAAGAAGCGGCAAUUCGCUUCGAAAGUCUUGUACCAGAUGACGGGAUCAGACCCCGAGUGCGGUGUAUGUACACAUGACUCUGAGCUUAAACCUUGCGAGGAGGUUCAUACGCGCUUCAUCUGUGAGAAGUCCAGAUAUUUGUUUCCGGGUAUUUAUGAAAUGAUAAAGGAUCUCUGUCUGCAACCAGUGGGACCGACUUGAAUAUAAUGAUGAAACUCUCUUUCUCCUCCAGUUCUCUUAACCACUCGCUCUAUCUACCCCUUCCGCGCUGCUGUCCUCACCCUGACCAAAUUCGCCACUUUCCUUCUCUCGCAAUGUUACUCACCAUUUUGCCCUCUCUUUACCCUCGUCCCUCGAAAGUGUCGCUCUCAUCCCUCGCCACUCCCGCCUCCUCUGUUUUAUCCCCAUUUUCCUCACCGCGCUUCCUUGCCUCCAUUUCCCCCAAUUUCCCGUUCUGUUCCCGGUCUCUCCCGCGAUUCUCUACUCUGUCUCUAACCACUCUCCCCAUCCCACUGCGUCUCUAUUAUCUAACCCAACUCGCAUCCCGCUUCUCUCUUUAGCUACUCUCACCUCAAUCAUAUGUGUUAAUAUUCUCGAUACCGCAGUCCUGCGGAAAUAGUGUGCACGCAUUCGCCUGAUCUGUGUCCCUCGUGGUUUUGUACACCUCUGUAGGUUCACCGAUAAAUGUCUCAGAGUUACCAAUCUCGCUCCAUAACUCAGCCCCUCCUGUCCCGUCAGCAUCCUCGGAAUUCUCCCUCUGCAAUCUUUCCAGUUCGUUGAGAGUUUUCUUGGAGGAAGGCAAGCAGAACUGAACUCCAUUCUCCAAGUACGGCCUGACCGACGUCAUCUGCAACUGCAACGUGACCUCCGACUCCCGGACUCAGAGUCCUGACUGAUGAAGGCCAGCGUGACAAAUGUCCUGUCUACCUGUAUCGCAUCUUUUCUACCUGAUUCACGGUCUGUUUUAUUAUCUGUGACUUAGACCACCUGAGAUUUGUUCUUUUCAA